GGUUUAUUUUCGUAACAGUCUCAAUCGCGCGGUAAAUGAAUACAUCUUGCCGUGAUCCCUUUGUAAAACCAAGCAUUGUGGAAGCUAAUAGGCAAAGACAACUUGCAUAAAGUACUUACCGGAGUCCCAAAGAGCAUACCGCUGACCACAUGUUCCAAGAGUUGCGUGACUGAGUGAAGAAUAUCCCAAACCUGCAUUUUGCUGAAGCUUUUAUAGCAUGAAUGGUUGCAAAAUUGCUGUAGUACAAGGGAGACAUCAAUAGCAGAUAUUGCUUGGCAUUCGGUUCGCCUCUCUUGCUGUUUGCUGAAUAAUUGAGCAUGGAUAGCUUGCAAGAUUGCUGCAGCGGGGGGGAGACUGCAAUAGCUGAUAUUGCGGGGAAGUUUUCUGAGAUAUGCAUGGAUUAUUGGAUUGUUGUUGUCAUUGGGAUUAUCACAUUGCUAUAUAUGUGCAGUUGCUAGAUAUAUUUACAAGAUUAUAAUAAUAAUAAUAAUAAUAA